GAUGAACGCUGGCGGCGUGCCUAAUACAUGCAAGUCGAGCGAACGGACGAGAAGCUUGCUUCUCUGAUGUUAGCGGCGGACGGGUGAGUAACACGUGGAUAACCUACCUAUAAGACUGGGAUAACUUCGGGAAACCGUAGCUAAUACCGGAUAAUAUUUUGAACCGCAUGGUUCAAAAGUGAAAGACGGUCUUGCUGUCACUUAUAGAUGGAUCCGCGCUGCAUUAGUUAGUUGGUAAGGUAACGGCUUACCAAGGCAACGAUGCAUAGCCGACCUGAGAGGGAGACCGGCCAGACUGGAAGUGAGACAGGGUCCAGACACCGACGGGAGGCAGCAGUAGGGAAUCUUCCGCAAUGGGCGAAAGCCUGACGGAGCAACGCCGCGUGAGUGAUGAAGGUCUUCGGAUCGUAAAACUCUGUUAUUAGGGGAGAACAUAUGUGUAAGUAACUGUGCACAUCUUGACGGUACCUAAUCAGAAAGCCACGGCUAACUACGUG
rnacentral:rRNA from 1 species